rnacentral:rRNA from 1 species
AGCUAAUACAUGCUAAAAACCCCGACUUCGGAAGGGGUGUGUUUAUUAGGAUUAAAAACCAAUGCCCUUCGGGGGCUCGUUGGGUGAUUCAUAAUAACUUCUCCGAAUCGCGUGGCCUUGCGCCGUCUAUGGUUCAUUCAAAUUUCUUCCCUAUCAACUUUCGAUGCUAGAGUAGUGUUCUAGCAUGGUUACAACGGGUGACGGGAUGGUUAGGGGCUC